rnacentral:rRNA from 1 species
UACAGAGGUGGCAAGCGUUGUUCGGAAUUACUGGGCGUAAAGGGCGCGUAGGCGGUCUUGUAAGUCCCGUGUGAAAUCCCUCGGCUCAACUGAGGAACUGCACGGGAAACUGCUUGGCUUGAGUUCGGGAGAGGGAAGCGGAAUUCCGGGUGUAGCGGUGAAAUGCGUAGAUAUCCGGAAGAACACCGGUGGCGAAGGCGGUCUGCUGGGCAGUUGCUGACACUGAGGCGCGACAGCGUGGGGAGCAAACAGG